UUUUUCAAUGUGUUUUGUGAAGGUGAAAAAAUCCGGUAUGGCUCCUGGCCAAGAGCAGGAUUUUUGUCCACAUCUUGUUUGGUGGUGUAGUUGAUGCUGAUGAGUACGGUUUCAAUGCAUGCGUUGGAAAAACUAAUGUCUUUUGCAGGUGAUUCCCUGCACAGCGUUUUUAUGAUCGAGAUGUAUAUGCUUUCCAGAUGGUAUCCUUUGGAGCUUCUCAAGCCAAAGAGCCUAAAGAUUAAGAGGAAAGUGGUUGAUCCAAAUGUGGAAAAUGCGUCUCAACGUUGAGCGUUCGGCUUGAAGGUUGUUGCCUUGUGGAAGAAUGAAUGCUGGAAUGGUCGUUGGAAAGGAUACUUUAUUUCUGUAUGGAGGUAUGAAAGAAGUCGGCAAAAAAAAAGUGACACGACGACCUUUCCUCGCUGGACCUUCGAUGUGUGGAAGUGCAUUAUUGAGGAAACACAAAGCGCGUGGAUUGAAGCUAGUAAGGAGAAAGGCGAAACUGAUGGUGACAACAGUGAUGCUGGAUCGAUUAAUAAAGGAAAAGACGAAGAGGACGAUGACGAGGAUGCAGUGGAGUCACUGUGAAGAGGCAGCUGCUAUUCUUAGGGGCGAAGGCAAAAAGGUGACACAGAAAGCACGGAAAUUAAAGAUUGAUCCGAGCUGGGCCUGGCUGAUUCCCAACAAACACUUUUGCCUGGAGAAACGCUGAGAGAUUUUUUCUCUUGGACGAUCAUGUAUUGGCAAAUGGCACCUUACGAUCACACCCAACACACUGGAAAGGAGCUCAGGAAGGAUGGAUUUGACUUGGCAAAGACACGCUACAGAGAACUUAAAACCCGUCCUUGACAAGCUCGCGAGACUUGAAGCCGACCACAACGCCGAAGAGGAGGCUACCAAACCUUCCAAAGAGCGCAGCAAGAAGAAAGGAUAAGGUCCGUGAUCUCUGAAAGUUCUAGCUGAAAAUUAAAUGAAUAGAUUACAGUUAUUCCCA